rnacentral:lncRNA from 1 species
CCAUUUGUAUUCACGAGAAGUUUCUUCUCAUGAAUUUUCUCUCAUGUAAAGCCCUUCCCACACCCCACAUUUGUGCACCACAUAGGUGGAUAAGGAUGGUUGGUUGGCCAUUCAAAUUCAAAAUAAAGUUUGAAUUUGAAUGAGCAACCAAUCCGUGCGCCAUGUUCUUAUCUUCUUUAGCACCCCAUAUCUUACACGAGAAAG